GAUGAACGCUGGCGGCGUGCCUAAUACAUGCAAGUCGAGCGAACGGACGAGAAGCUUGCUUCUCUGAUGUUAGCGGCGGACGGGUGAGUAACACGUGGAUAACCUACCUAUAAGACUGGGAUAACUUCGGGAAACCGGAGCUAAUACCGGAUAAUAUUUUGAACCGCAUGGUUCAAAAGUGAAAGACGGUCUUGCUGUCACUUAUAGAUGGAUCCGGGUUGCAUUAGCUAGUUGGUAAGGUAACGGCUUACCAAGGCAACGAUCAAUAGCCGACCUGAGAGGGGGAUCGGCCACACUGGAACUGAGACACGGCCCAGACUCCUACGGGAGGCAGAAGUAGGGAAUCUUCCGCAAUGGGCGAAAGCCUGACGGAGCAACGCGGCGUGAGGGAUGAAGGUCUUCGGAUCGUAAAACUCUGUGAUUAGGGAGGAACAUAUGUGUAAGUAACAGUGCACAUCUUGACGGUACCUAAUCAGAAAGCCACGGCUAACUACGUG
rnacentral:rRNA from 1 species